UACGUAGGGACCAAGCGUUGUUCGGAUUUACUGGGCGUAAAGGGCGCGUAGGCGGCUUAACAAGUCACUUGUGAAAUCUCCGGGCUUAACUCGGAACGGCCAAGUGAAACUGUCAAGCUAGAGUGCAGAAGGGGCAAUCCGAAUUCUUGGUGUAGCGGUGAAAUGCGUAGAUAUCAAGAGGAACACCUGAGGUGAAGACGGGUUGCUGGGCUGACACUGACGCUGAGGCGCGAAAGCCAGGGGAGCAAACGGG
rnacentral:rRNA from 1 species